rnacentral:rRNA from 1 species
GACGAACGCUGGCGGCGUGCCUAAUACAUGCAAGUCGAGCGGAACCUUUGGAGCUUGCUCCAUUGGUUUAGCGGCGGACGGGUGAGUAACACGUGGGCAACCUGCCCUGCAGAUCGGGAUAACUCCGGGAAACCGGUGCUAAUACCGAAUAGUUUUUUGCCCCUCCUGGGGCGAAACGGAAAGACGGUUUCGGCUGUCACUGCAGGAUGGGCCCGCGGCGCAUUAGCUAGUUGGUGGGGUAAUGGCCCACCAAGGCGACGAUGCGUAGCCGACCUGAGAGGGUGAUCGGCCACACUGGGACUGAGACACGGCCCAGACUCCUACGGGAGGCAGCAGUAGGGAAUCUUCCGCAAUGGACGCAAGUCUGACGGAGCAACGCCGCGUGAGUGACGAAGGUUUUCGGAUCGUAAAACUCUGUUGUGAGGGAAGAACAAGUACCAANUAACUACUGGUACCUUGACGGUACCUCACCAGAAAGCCACGGCUAACUACGUGCCAGCAGCCGCGGUAAUACGUAGGUGGCAAGCGUUGUCCGGAAUUAUUGGGCGUAAAGCGCGCGCAGGCGGUCCCUUAAGUCUGAUGUGAAAGCCCACGGCUCAACCGUGGAGGGUCAUUGGAAACUGGGGGGACUUGAGUGCAGAAGAGGAAAAGUGGAAUUCCACGUGUAGCGGUGAAAUGCGUAGAGAUGUGGAAGGAACACCAAGUGGCGAAGGCGACUUUCUGGGUCUGUNAACUGACGCUGAGGCGCGGAAAGCGUGGGGAACAAACAGGGAUUAGNUACCCNUGGUAAUCCACGNCG